UUUGGGACGCAUGUUAUCUGUCCCCAAAUGGCAGCAGAGAGGAAGGUCAGGCUAGGUAAAGGACCAGUAAUCCCUCCAUAGGAAGGCAGCAGAGAGGAAGGUCAGGCUAGGUAAAGGCCCAGUAAUCCCUCCAUAGGAAGGCAGCAGAGAGGAAGGUCAGGCUAGGUAAAGGCCCAGUAAUCCCUCCAUAGGAAGGCAGCAGAGAGGAAGGUCAGGCUAGGUAAAGGCCCAGUAAUCCCUCCAUAGGAAGGCAGCAGAGAGGAAGGUCAGGCUAGGUAAAGGCCCAGUAAUCCCUCCAUAGGAAGGCAGCAGAGAGGAAGGUCAGGCUAGGUAAAGGCCAGUAAUCCCUCCAUGGGAGGCAGCAGAGAGGAAGGUCAGGCUAGGUAAAGGCCCAGUAAUCCCUCCAUGGGAAGGCAGCAGAGAGGAAGGUCAGGCUAGGUAAAGGCCCAGUAAUCCCUCCAUAGGAAGGCAGCAGAGAGGAAGGUCAGGCUAGGUAAAGGCCAGUAAUCCCUCCAUAGGAAGGCAGCAGAGAGGAAGGUCAGGCUAGGUAAAGGCCAGUAAUCCCUCCAUAGGAAGGCAGCAGAGAGGAAGGUCAGGCUAGGUAAAGGCCAGUAAUCCCUCCAUAGGAAGGCAGCAGAGAGGAAGGUCAGGCUAGGUAAAGGCCAGUAAUCCCUCCAUAGGAAGGCAGCAGAGAGGAAGGUCAGGCUAGGUAAAGGCCAGU